rnacentral:rRNA from 1 species
AGAAUCAACGCUGGCGGCGUGCCUAACACAUGCAAGUCGAACGAGAAAGGGUAGCAAUACCUGAGUAAAGUGGCGCACGGGUGAGUAACACGUGACUAACCUACCUUUUAGUGGGGGAUAACCUAGGGAAACCUGGGCUAAUACCGCAUAAUACCUACGGGUCAAAGCAGCAAUGCGCUGAUAGAGGGGUCGCGGCCGAUUAGCUAGUUGGCGGGGUAAUGGCCCACCAAGGCAGUGAUCGGUAUCCGGCCUGAGAGGGCGCACGGACACACUGGAACUGAAACACGGUCCAGACUCCUACGGGAGGCAGCAGUGGGAAUUUGCGCAAUGGGGGAAACCCUGACGCAGCAACGCCGCGUGGAGGAUGAAGUCCCUUGGGACGUAAACUCCUUUCGAUCGGGACGAUAAUGACGGUACCGGAAGAAGAAGCCCCGGCUAACUUCGUGCCAGCAGCCGC